GUUCUACCUUGACGAAUUGUAGUUUAUAGAAGUGUUUUCUGUUAGUGGAGUGGCAAAAGUUCUUUGGAAUAGGACAUCAUAGAGGGUGAGAAUCCCGUAUUUGGUCAUUCCUCCUAGCGUUGUGAUACACUUUCAACGAGUCGGAUUGUUUGGGAAUGCAGUCCAAAAUGGGUGGUAAAUUUCAUCUAAAGCUAAAUAUUGGCGAGAGACCGAUAGCGAACAAGUACCGUGAGGGAAAGAUGAAAAGAACUUUGAAAAGAGAGUUAAACAGUACGUGAAAUUGUCAAAAGGGAAGCGUUUGACACCAGUGUUGUUUUUCCGAAAAUCAAUUACGAAUGUUUUGUUUUUGAGGAGUUAUGACUUCAUCGGCUUGCUCCUUUCUUUACGAAACUUUCUU
rnacentral:rRNA from 1 species